rnacentral:lncRNA from 1 species
AGGAAAGGCCAUGUAAGGACAGAGCAAACAGGCAACUGUCUGCAAACCAGGAAGAGAGGCCUCACCAGAUAUCAACCUUCAUGGCACCUUGAUCUUGAUCUUUCCAGAACUGUGAGAAAAUUAACUUCUGUUGUUGUUUAAGCUGCCCUCCAACCCCGACUGUAGUAUUUUGUUACGGCAGCCCAAACAGACUAAGACAUCAAGUAACCACAUAAAUGCAUGUAGAAUUAAAACUGACCUAACUGUUAAGAAGAGGAGAUAGGGCAAGAGUAUAUUUAUCGAGGGUAUUCUAUCUGGUCAGAGAUGAGAGAGAAAGAUUUUUCUGGGUAAAGUUAACAAGGUAUACGGGGUGGGGUGAAUUUGGAGUGGGGAAUGGUCCCAGAUAGGGCCAAUUGCUUGUGCAAACACCCUGGGGUGAGAAAGAGCACAGUUUAUUAGAGAAACCAAAUGGCAGCUGUGUGACUGGGGUGCUAAGAGUGAAGAGGAAGGUGAUACAGGUGAGGGUGGAGAAGAAGGUGAGGCCUAACUUCCCAGGACCAUGCAGGAUUUUCACUGCUAACUUGGGCCACUUGCACACCAGACUGGAGCUGGAAAUGGUGGGUGUGGGAGACAGAGAUCAAAAUAACCUCUAGAUGUCUACUUGCAUAGCUGGUAGGUCACGGGACCUUUCAUGAUAGGGAAGCCCAGGAGAGAACCAGAUUUCAAAGAGAAAGUCAUGAAUUUGCACGUGUCAAGCUUGUUGUGCUUUUGAGUCACUUAGAAAGAGACAUUUGUAGGCGGACCUAUCUACAAGUCUAGACUCAGACAGAGGCCUGAGUCAUGUCAUUAUGCUGACAAGGUGGGAGAGGUGAUUCAGGACAGUCGUUCUCAGACUUUGAGCUUCAAGACCCCUUUACACUCUUAAAAACCAUCAAGGACCUCAAAGAGCUUCUGUUUAUGUGGGUUAUAUCUGUCCAUAUUUACUAUAUUAGAAAUUUAAACUGAAA